UACGUAGGGGGCUAGCGUUGUCCGGAUUUAUUGGGCGUAAAGAGCGUGUAGGCGGCCAGGUAGGUCUGCUGUGAAAACUCGAGGCUCAACCUCGAGACGUCGGCGGAAACCAUCUGGCUAGAGUCCGGAAGAGGAGAGUGGAAUUCCUGGUGUAGCGGUGAAAUGCGCAGAUAUCAGGAAGAACACCAGUGGCGAAGGCGGCGCUCUGGGACGGUACUGACGCUGAGACGCGAAAGCGUGGGGAGCGAACAGG
rnacentral:rRNA from 1 species